UGGGGAAUAUUGCACAAUGGGCGAAAGCCUGAUGCAGCGACGCCGCGUGAGGGAUGACGGCCUUCGGGUUGUAAACCUCUUUCAGUAGGGACGAAGCGCAAGUGACGGUACCUGCAGAAGAAGCACCGGCUAACUACGUGCCAGCAGCCGCGGUAAUACGUAGGGUGCGAGCGUUGUCCGGAAUUACUGGGCGUAAAGAGCUCGUAGGCGGUUUGUCACGUCGUCUGUGAAAUCCUAGGGCUUAACCCUGGACGUGCAGGCGAUACGGGGUGAAUUGAGUACCAACGGGGAGGAUGGAAUUUCUGGUGGAGCGGUUGGAAGGCAAGAUAUCAGGAAGGACAACGAUGGGGAAGGCAGGUCUCUGGGUAGUAACUGACGCUGAGGAGCGAAAGCAUGGGUAGCGAACAGG
rnacentral:rRNA from 1 species